UUUCACCUUUUUUCAGCAAUGGAUUCUUUCGUGUUUUUAUUAGUAGCUUUGGCUUCAGGAAUGCUUUGCAAUCCCGUCCAGAAUGAGCUUACUUUGCGUGAUUACAACAAACUUCCUCGAAUAUAUGAAUACGAUGAUUUCAGCAAGUGCCGAAGCUUGUUUUCCGAUAAGUUCGUCUACUGUGUAGUGUCCAUAAAAUUACAUCCCAACAACAAUAGUAUGCUUUGGAGAUCUAUUGAUCAUUUAUCAUCAAAUCGGCGAAAUUUCCCUCACGAUAUUCUUGAGCGUGGCUUAUGCCUCAACCAUUUUUUAAUCAGUCACAUAGAGAAGCCAAAAAUUGCAUUUUUGAUAAAUGACCGUAUUAGGAAGCGUAUCCAUGAUGAAUUUGGAUUGAAAAGUAGUUCUUACGUACAGUCCUGUUGGAGCGACGAUAUAUUAUCAAAACAAUAUGGAUUCGGAGAACUAUUCUUUUUGUGUACUGCAAUUGCUUUACUCGCUAUACAAAUAUUGAUGACCAGCAGACAACUAGUUUCCGGAUCGUCUGGAUUACUUGUAGAGACCUUCUCUAUCGUUAGUAACAUGCGACGUCUUACCAUCCCUCGAAAAAACAGUCAAAACGACCUGCUUCUACUGGAGGGACUACGGGUUUUCGGUAUGAUGACUAUACUGAUGGUUCAUUCCGUUUUACCGAUGAUUCGAAUGCCUCUAACAAAUACUGAAGAUUUAGAAUGGCAAACAAAUCACAUCAUAUUUCCUCUUCUAAACUCAGGCAAUACACAUAUGAUACAAUUUUUUUUCGCUCUUGGUGGAAUGGUUUUUGGACUAAGCAGCUGCAAUAGUUUUGACAACUACCCAGGGUCUUUUCGAUUCAUGUUUUUCGUAACCAAAAUUAUUCGUCGAUUGAUAAGAAUUUUGCCAUCUUAUAUUUUUAUUAUUUUUUAUCAAGCAACGGUCUACAAACGAAUCAAAGAAGGGCCAUUAGCUCUGAAAUUUGAUGAUUAUUGUUCUGAAAAUUGGUGGACCAAUAUUUUGUUUGUAAAUAAUUAUGUUCAUACAUCAAAACCGUGUUUAAAGUACAGUUGGUACUUGGGAGUAGAUUUUCAGUUAUCGUUGAUUGCUACAAGUCUAUUGUCACUCAUGUUGAAAUUCCAUCGAUGGAAACAUUUUAUUGCAGUAUGCAUGAUAAUCAGUGCUUUUCUAGUUCCUGCAUACAUCAUUUACAUACAAGACAUAGAACCAACUAUGACUUUCAAUAUGCGAUACACCUUAGAAGAGCUUCGAACGUACAAGCACUUUGUUAAAUUUUACUUGCCCUGUCAAUCGAACAUAAGCAGUUAUUUUUGGGGUAUUUUAACGGCAUUGAUUUACAAAGGUGUUCUUUUUGGAAAAUUCUAUUGUUUUAAAACAAAUUAUCUGUUUAGAGCAUCUGUGAUUGCAUUGGUAUUUUUAAGCGCCAGUACAAUUGUGCUCGAUGAUUUAAAAAUAAGCCUAAUUCUGGGUGCAUUAUAUGGUACCCUAUUAAAAAAUUCGUGGGGGUUAGCUUUCAGUACUUUAUUUAUAUACUUAGCUAAAAAAAACAACCAAGCAAAGAUUGUAAAAUUAUUAUUGCACCCUGUAAUGCAAACUGCUGGCAGGUUGAGCUACAGCAUUUAUCUUGUGCAGUACUCUGUGAUUUACGCCUUUUAUACUAAUUUGAAAAUACCGAUUACCUAUGGAAUAAUGGACGUAAUUACUCUGCUAUCUGUCAUCACGUUAAUCUCCACAUUUACUGGAGUUCUUCUCUUCAUUUCCGUGGAAGCUCCAUUCACGUUUUUGGGAGUGAGAUGUAUACAAUUUGUUUUCAAAGGAAGCGAAACUGGUGCUCUAGACCGCCAUUUAAAGAAGCUGUAACUAAACAAAUAAUGUGAAAAAGGCAUCAUCGUCUGAAGAAGGCGUAUAGCGAGGCGCUUCGCGAAACAUGGCAUCUACUUCUGUGUCCAAAAAAUAAGGUCCGCAGAGCGUAAAGCCAAGCGUCAAUUAAUCACUCACCUAUAACGUAGCGAGACGAACAGUUCUACAAUCGCUGGUAGAGCCAGAAAAUUUAAGAAACUGGAAACACUAUUUCUAAAUCUUCAUUAUUUCUG